rnacentral:rRNA from 1 species
GAUGAACGCUAGCGGCAGGCUUAAUACAUGCAAGUCGAGGGGCAGCAUGAUUGUAGCAAUACAAUUGAUGGCGACCGGCAAACGGGUGCGGAACACGUACACAACCUUCCAACAAGUGGGGGAUAGCCCAGAGAAAUUUGGAUUAAUACCCCGUAACAUAGCGAUGUGGCAUCACAUUGCUAUUAUAGAUUUUUCGCUUGUUGAUGGGUGUGCGGCUGAUUAGAUAGUUGGCGGGGUAACGGCCCACCAAGUCUACGAUCAGGAGCCGAUGUGGAAGCAUGAUCAGCCACACGGGCACUGAGACACGGGCCCGACUCCUACGGGAGGCAGCAGUAAGGAAUAUUGGACAAUGGACGCAAGUCUGAUCCAGCCAUGCCGCGUGAAGGAUUAAGGUCCUCUGGAUUGUAAACUUCUUUUAUAAGGGACGAAAAAAGGCUUUUCUAAGUCGUCUGACGGUACCUUAUGAAUAAGCACCGGCUAACUCCGUGCCAGCCGCCGCGGUAAUAC